rnacentral:rRNA from 1 species
AUUGAACGCUGGCGGCAGGCCUAACACAUGCAAGUCGAACGGUAACAGGAAGAAGCUUGCUUCUUUGCUGACGAGUGGCGGACGGGUGAGUAAUGUCUGGGAAACUGCCUGAUGGAGGGGGAUAACUACUGGAAACGGUAGCUAAUACCGCAUAACGUCGCAAGACCAAAAAGGGGGACCUUCGGGCCUCUUGCCAUCGGAUGUGCCCAGAUGGGAUUAGCUAGUAGGUGGGGUAACGGCUCACCUAGGCGACGAUCCCUAGCUGGUCUGAGAGGAUGACCAGCCACACUGGAACUGAGACACGGUCCAGACUCCUACGGGAGGCGGCAGUGGGGAAUAUUGGACAAUGGGCGCAAGCCUGAUGCAGCCAUGCCGCGUGUAUGAAGAAGGCCUUCGGGUUGUAAAGUACUUUCAGCGGGGAGAAAGGGAGUAAAGUUAACACCUUUGCUCAUUGACGUUACCCUCAGAAGAAGCACCGGCUAACUCCGUG